UCCGGUUUGUCACCGGCAGUCUCGUUAAAGUGCCCAACUAAAUGAUGGCAAUUAACGACAAGGGUUGCGCUCGUUGCGGGACUUAACCCAACAUCUCACGACACGAGCUGACGACAGCCAUGCACCACCUGUGAACCUGCCCCGAAGGGAAGACGUGUUUCCACGUCGGUCAGGCACAUGUCGAGCCCAGGUAAGGUUCUUCGCGUUGCGUCGAAUUAAACCACAUGCUCCGCUGCUUGUGCGGGUCCCCGUCAAUUCCUUUGAGUUUUAACCUUGCGGCCGUACUCCCCAGGCGGUCAACUUCACGCGUUAGCUACGGUACCAAGGAAUCGCUUCCCCAACACCUAGUUGACAUCGUUUAGGGCGUGGACUAC
rnacentral:misc_RNA from 1 species